CACGUAGGGGGCAAGCGUUGUCCGGAUUUAUUGGGCGUAAAGAGCUCGUAGGCGGUUCGGUAAGUCGGGUGUGAGACCUCCAGGCUCAACCUGGAGACGCCACCCGAUACUGCUGUGACUAGAGUCCGGUAGGGGAGCGUGGAAUUCCUGGUGUAGCGGUGAAAUGCGCAGAUAUCAGGAGGAACACCAGCGGCGAAGGCGGCGCUCUGGGCCGGAACUGACGCUGAGGCGCGAAAGCCAGGGGAGCAAACGGG
rnacentral:rRNA from 1 species